rnacentral:rRNA from 1 species
UAGCGGCGGACGGGUGAGUAACACGUGGGUAACCUGCCUGUAAGACUGGGAUAACUCCGGGAAACCGGGGCUAAUACCGGAUGGUUGUUUGAACCGCAUGGUUCAGACAUAAAAGGUGGCUUCGGCUACCACUUACAGAUGGACCCGCGGCGCAUUAGCUAGUUGGUGAGGUAACGGCUCACCAAGGCGACGAUGCGUAGCCGACCUGAGAGGGUGAUCGGCCACACUGGGACUGAGACACGGCCCACACUCCUACGGGAGGCAGCAGUAGGGAAUCUUCCGCAAUGGACGAAAGUCUGACGGAGCAACGCCGCGUGAGUGAUGAAGGUUUUCGGAUCGUAAAGCUCUGUUGUUAGGGAAGAACAAGUGCCGUUCAAAUAGGGCGGCACCUUGACGGUACCUAACCAGAAAGCCACGGCUAACUACGUGCCAGCAGCCGCGGUAAUACGUAGGUGGCAAGCGUUGUCCGGAAUUAUUGGGCGUAAAGGGCUCGCAGGCGGUUUCUUAAGUCUGAUGUGAAAGCCCCCGGCUCAACCGGGGAGGGUCAUUGGAAACUGGGGAACUUGAGUGCAGAAGAGGAGAGUGGAAUUCCACGUGUAGCGGUGAAAUGCGUAGAGAUGUGGAGGAACACCAGUGGCGAAGGCGACUCUCUGGUCUGUAACUGACGCUGAGGAGCGAAAGCGUGGGGAGCGAACAGGAUUAGAUACCCUGGUAGUCCACGCCGUAAACGAUGAGUGCUAAGUGUUAGGGGGUUUCCGCCCCUUAGUGCUGCAGCUAACGCAUUAAGCACUCCGCCUGGGGAGUACGGUCGCAAGACUGAAACUCAAAGGAAUUGACGGGGGCCCGCACAAGCGGUGGAGCAUGUGGUUUAAUUCGAAGCAACGCGAAGAACCUUACCAGGUCUUGACAUCCUCUGACAAUCCUAGAGAUAGGACGUCCCCUUCGGGGGCAGAGUGACAGGUGGUGCAUGGUUGUCGUCAGCUCGUGUCGUGAGAUGUUGGGUUAAGUCCCGCAACGAGCGCAACCCUUGAUCUUAGUUGCCAGCAUUCAGUUGGGCACUCUAAGGUGACUGCCGGUGACAAACCGGAGGAAGGUGGGGAUGACGUCAAAUCAUCAUGCCCCUUAUGACCUGGGCUACACACGUGCUACAAUGGGCAGAACAAAGGGCAGCGAAACCGCGAGGUUAAGCCAAUCCCACAAAUCUGUUCUCAGUUCGGAUCGCAGUCUGCAACUCGACUGCGUGAAGCUGGAAUCGCUAGUAAUCGCGGAUCAGCAUGCCGCGGUGAAUACGUUCCCGGGCCUUGUACACACCGCCCGUCACACCACGAGAGUUUGUAACACCCGAAGUCGGUGAGGUAACCUUUUAGAUGCCAGCCGCCGAAGGUGG